rnacentral:rRNA from 1 species
ACUCAAAGGAAUAGACGGGGGCCCGCACAAGCGGCGGAGCAUGUUGCUUAAUUCGACGCAACGCGAAGAACCUUACCAAGGUUUGACAUGCGCGGAAAAGCACCGGAGACGGUGUGUCCUUCGGGGCCGCGCACAGGUGGUGCAUGGCUGUCGUCAGCUCGUGUCGUGAGAUGUUGGGUUAAGUCCCGCAACGAGCGCAACCCUCGUCCCAUGUUGCCAGCGGGUGAUGCCGGGGACUCAUGGGAGACUGCCGGGGUCAACUCGGAGGAAGGUGGGGAUGACGUCAAGUCAUCAUGCCCCUUAUGUCUUGGGCUGCAAACAUGCUACAAUGGCCGGUACAGAGGGCUGCGAGCCCGUGAGGGUGAGCGAAUCCCGGAAAGCCGGUCUCAGUUCGGAUCGGGGUCUGCAACUCGGCCCCGUGAAGUCGGAGUCGCUAGUAAUCGCGGAUCAGCAAUGCCGCGGUGAAUACGUUCCCGGGCCUUGUACACACCGCCCGU